GAUGAACGCUGGCGGCGUGCCUAACACAUGCAAGUCGAGCGAAGCACUUACUUUAGAUUUCUUCGGAAUGACGAAGUUUGUGACUGAGCGGCGGACGGGUGAGUAACGCGUGGGCAACCUGCCCUGUACAGGGGGAUAACAGUUAGAAAUGACUGCUAAUACCGCAUAAGCCCACAGCUUCGCAUGAAGCAGUGGGAAAAACUCCGGUGGUACAGGAUGGGCCCGCGCCUGAUUAGCUAGUUGGUAAGGUAACGGCUUACCAAGGCGACGAUCAGUAGCCGACCUGAGAGGGUGACCGGCCACAUUGGGACUGAGACACGGCCCAAACUCCUACGGGAGGCAGCAGUGGGGAAUAUUGCACAAUGGGGGAAACCCUGAUGCAGCGACGCCGCGUGAGCGAUGAAGUAUUUCGGUAUGUAAAGCUCUAUCAGCAGGGAAGAAAGUGACGGUACCUGACUAAGAAGCCCCGGCUAACUACGUG
rnacentral:rRNA from 1 species